rnacentral:tRNA from 1 species
GCUGGUUUGGCUCAGUAGAUAGAGCGUUGGUCUGCGGACUGAAGGGUAUGGGUUCGAUUCCAGUCAACGGCA